rnacentral:misc_RNA from 1 species
CUUCCGCAGUGUACGCUUAUCGAAGCCUUUGCAGCCACGCAAGUGGUAGGUCCAGGCGACUCUUAAAGAACAUGGUGCCGUUGCAAGUCCACUCCUUCCGGGUGGGCGACACUUUUGAAUUGACGGGGACACCCUAAAGCCGGUCGCACCAACCUGGUACGGGAAACUGUACAGGGGCCCGUGGACACACCACGGGGGACGGUAACAGACGAUUCGGAUAGUUCUGCUCUCGGGCAGAGAUGAUGGGUAAUCCGCAGCGAAGCCUCUACGUCUCCCCCGGCAGUUUCGGGGGGGAUAUGGGGAACGUUCACAGACUAAGUGGAAGUGGGUGGGACGCCGAGUCCUGCUUAAGAUAUAGUCGGGCUCCCUGGGAGACCAGGGAGGCGAGUACACUGUUUGGGUACAUGAAACCGUUCCGUAGGUGAACCUGCGGAAGGAUCAUUACUGAGUGCAGGUCCCUCGUGGACCUAACCUCCCACCCUUGUCUCUUGUAUACCCUGUUGCUUUGGCGGGCCCACUGGGGGUUAACCCCCCCAGUCGCCGAGGGGCACUGUGCCCCUGGGCCCGCGCCCGCCAGAGCGCCCUUGAACCCUAAUGAAGAUGGACUGUCUGAGCGUGAUUGAUAAUAAUCAAAACUUUCAACAAUGGAUCUCUUGGUUCCGGCAUCGAUGAAGAACGCAGCGAAAUGCGAUAAGUAAUGUGAAUUGCAGAAUUCCGUGAAUCAUCGAAUCUUUGAACGCACAUUGCGCCCCCUGGCAUUCCGGGGGGCAUGCCUGUCCGAGCGUCAUUUCUGCCCUCAAGCACGGCUUGUGUGUUGGGUGUGGUCCCCCCGGGGACCUGCCUGAAAGGCAGUGGCGACGCCCGCCUAGGUCCUCGAGCGUAUGGGGCUUUGUCACCCGCUCGGGAAGGGUCUACGGGCGUUGGUCAUCGAUAU